GUGCUUAUGGACGGUCUUGUGCUGAUUAGAUAUUUUUAUCGGCACACAACAAAUACAUAAGCUAAAUCAAUUUUUGCCAUGUUGUCUUUCAAGUUUUUCCUUGGGUUGCAUGAGGAAAGGCUAUCCAUGCUAUGGCAGACAAUUCAUUGUCUGAUAAAUUUUGCAUGAUUGCAAUGAUUGGUUAAGCACAUGCUUAUGGGCUAUAGGCGUGCUUAUUGUUUUUCCCCCCUUUCUUUUGUUAGCACACAACAGAAAACUAAGCUGAAUGUGCUUUACCAAUGUCUUUAGGCUAUCCAUGCUGUGGCAGACAUUUCAUUUUCUGCAAUCUUUGUUUUCAUAUGGUUAGUCUAAGACGUACAUGUUUAAGUAUGGUCUUCUACUGGCUCAUUGGUAUCCUAUUAGCAAUUUGACUUACUGUCUUCUUUGUGUUGUGUAAUUGAUGUCAACCAUAUCUUUAAGUGUUUGAGUAAGGCUAUCUGUAUAAUACUUAAUAAAUCACAUGUAAACAGGUAAGUUCAUGUUCUUUUUUGUUUUCCUUUUAUAUGCCUUUGCGCGCGCGUGUGUUCGCGCAUGCGCUUGUGUGUGUAGACUGUGAUGCUUGAGAUAUAUUUUUAACAUAGACAAUCUGGUGAGUAAUCCUGGUAUCACUAAGAAAUUCCUCAGUCAUGCAAUGUUGGCUCUAAUGUGUUCAAAUAGAGAAUGUUAGUGGUUUGCAGUUGUUUUAUUGACGUCUAAACAGUUUGAAAUCCCUGUUAAUGGACAGUCUUUUGUGUCUUUUAACAGAUUCGACCUUUAUGGAGACAUU
rnacentral:misc_RNA from 1 species